UUUACAACAACCACUAAUUUCUGGCGAUCGGCGCUCUAGAUCGCUUGAGUUUUGGAAAUGCAUCGUGUAUGGAGGUCUGAUCUAGUCAAUCGCAAGCCUAAGCAUAGUCUCUUCUAUAGCCGCUUCAGACGCCAAUACACUGAACGUCGUCGUUAUUGGAUUGGCAACCCUACUUAGCGGCCUCAUCGCAUUUGGUUGCAACCUUGUGGAGUUACGAAAUGACAACUAAGUACCAAGAAUUACUUGGUCAGAGAGGGCACUUUCUUUUCCACUCGACGUUUGCCAUUCUUUCCUA